rnacentral:rRNA from 1 species
CGCGGCCUAUCAGCUUGUUGGUGGGGUAAUGGCCUACCAAGGCGGCGACGGGUAGCCGGCCUGAGAGGGUGUACGGCCACAUUGGGACUGAGAUACGGCCCAGACUCCUACGGGAGGCAGCAGUGGGGAAUAUUGCACAAUGGGCGCAUGCCUGAUGCAGCGACGCCGCGUGGGGGAUGAAGGCCUUCGGGUUGUAAACUCCUUUCGCUAGGGACGAAGCUUUUUGUGACGGUACCUAGAUAAGAAGCACCGGCUAACUACGUGCCAGCAGCCGCGGUAAUACGUAGGGUGCGAGCGUUGUCCGGAAUUACUGGGCGUAAAGGGCUCGUAGGUGGUUUGUCGCGUCGUCUGUGAAAUUCUGGGGCUUAACUCCGGGCGUGCAGGCGAUACGGGCAUAACUUGAGUGCUGUAGGGGUAACUGGAAUUCCUGGUGUAGCGGUGAAAUGCGCAGAUAUCAGGAGGAACACCGAUGGCGAAGGCAGGUUACUGGGCAGUUACUGACGCUGAGGAGCGAAAGCAUGGGUAGCGAACAGGAUUAGAUACCCUGGUAGUCCAUGCCGUAAACGGUGGGCGCUAGGUGUGAGGGUCUUUCUACGACUUUCGUGCCGUAGCUAACGCAUUAAGCGCCCCGCCUGGGGAGUACGG